rnacentral:lncRNA from 1 species
GUAAGAAAUUCCGAUUUCUUGCUGCAAUUAAAUGGCAUCAAUAGUAUCAAAAUGGUUUUCAAAAUUUUCUAAAAGAUUGGGAGUGAUUUCGAAAAUUUAGGGCUUUUUGGGGGAAAAUGGAAAAGAAGUGUUUCUUGUUAAAUUCUUGUUCUUGCAUGCAUCAUCUAUGUUGGUAGUGGGUAGAUACAACUUUUAUUGGCC